UAUUGGACAAUGGGGGAAACCCUGAUCCAGCAAUGCCGCGUGUGUGAAGAAGGCCUUCGGGUUGUAAAGCACUUUUAUUUGUGAGGAAGGGUUCGCGGUUAAUACCCGUAAACUUUGACGCUAGCAACAGAAAAAGCACCGGCUAACUCUGUGCCAGCAGCCGCGGUAAUACAGAGGGUGCAAGCGUUAAUCGGAAUUACUGGGCGUAAAGCGCACGUAGGUGGGUUAGAAAGUUGGAUGUGAAAGCCCCGGGCUUAACCUGGGAACUGCAUUCAAUACUACUAGUCUAGAGUAUAGGAGAGGGAAGUGGAAUUUCUGGUGUAGUGGUGAAAUACGUAGAUAUCAGAGGGAUCACCAAUGGCGAAGGCAACUUCCUGGACUAAUACUGACACUGAGUGCGAUA
rnacentral:rRNA from 1 species